GACGAACGCUGGCGGCGUGCCUAAUACAUGCAAGUAGAACGCUGAAGGAGGAGCUUGCUUCUCUGGAUGAGUUGCGAACGGGUGAGUAACGCGUAGGUAACCUGCCUGGUAGCGGGGGAUAACUAUUGGAAACGAUAGCUAAUACCGCAUAAUAGCAGUUAUUGCAUGAUAACUGUUUGAAAGGUGCAAUUGCACCACUACCAGAUGGACCUGCGUUGUAUUAGCUAGUUGGUGGGGUAACGGCUCACCAAGGCGACGAUACAUAGCCGACCUGAGAGGGUGAUCGGCCACACUGGGACUGAGACACGGCCCAGACUCCUACGGGAGGCAGCAGUAGGGAAUCUUCGGCAAUGGACGGAAGUCUGACCGAGCAACGCCGCGUGAGUGAAGAAGGUUGUCGGAUCGUAAAGCUCGGUUGUAAGAGAAGAACGAGUGUGAGAGUGGAAAGUUCACACUGUGACGGUAGCUUACCAGAAAGGGACGGCUAACUACGUG
rnacentral:rRNA from 1 species